rnacentral:rRNA from 1 species
AGAGUUUGAUCCUGGCUCAGAGUGAACGCUGGCGGCAGGCUAAACACAUGCAAGUCGAGCGGCAGCGCGGGGGCAACCCUGGCGGCGAGCGGCGGACGGGUGAGGAAUACAUCGGAAUCUACCCAGUCGUGGGGGAUAACGUAGGGAAACUUACGCUAAUACCGCAUACGACCUGAGGGUGAAAGCAGGGGACCGCAAGGCCUUGCGCGAUUGGAUGAGCCGAUGUCCGAUUAGCUAGUUGGUGAGGUAAAGGCUCACCAAGGCGACGAUCGGUAGCUGGUCUGAGAGGAUGAUCAGCCACACUGGAACUGAGGCACGGUCCAGACUCCUACGGGAGGCAGCAGUGGGGAAUAUUGGACAAUGGGCGCAAGCCUGAUCCAGCCAUGCCGCGUGUGUGAAGAAGGCCUUCGGGUUGUAAAGCACUUUUGUUUGGGAAGAAAUCUUCCGACCUAAUACGUCGGGAGGAUGACGGUACCGAAAGAAUAAGCACCGGCUAACUUCGUGCCAGCAGCCGCGGUAAUACGAAGGGUGCAAGCGUUACUCGGAAUUACUGGGCGUAAAGCGUGCGUAGGUGGUUCGUUAAGUCUGCCGUGAAAGCCCCGGGCUCAACCUGGGAAUGGCAUUGGAAACUGGCGGACUAGAGUGUGGCAGAGGGAGGUGGAAUUCCGCGUGUAGCAGUGGAAUGCGUAGAGAUGCGGAG